rnacentral:rRNA from 1 species
UACGUAGGGGGCAAGCGUUGUCCGGAAUUAUUGGGCGUAAAGAGCGCGUAGGCGGUCCGAUAAGUCGGCUGUGAAAGUCAGGGGCUCAACCCUUGAAAGCCGGCCGAUACUGUCGGACUAGAGUCCGGAAGAGGCAAGUGGAAUUCCCGGUGCAGCGGUGAAAUGCGCAGAUAUCGGGAGGAACACCAAUGGCGAAGGCAGCUUGCUGGGACGGUACUGACGCUGAGGCGCGAAAGCGUGGGGAGCAAACAGG